UCUUAAGGAUUCAAAAUGACAUCCAUUCUCAAACAUGGAGAGGGCUUCAUACAAAGACAUUUGAGAGGAAUCUCAGAGGGAUGUGCAACUCCUGGGAGUAGGGAAGAGAACCACAGGGCAUCAUGGGUAUGUCGCUAUGAGCAAUUUGGUUCUCAUACAGAAUACAUCACAGGGGACAGCAAGAUGACUCAGUGGGUACAGGAGCUUGCUGCCAAGUCUGAGGGCCAGAGUUCAAUCUCCAGGACCCAUAUGGUAGAAGGAGAGAACUGACUACUGAAAGUUGGCCUCCUUCUUCAGUGCUCUGGGGCAUGCACACACACACA
rnacentral:lncRNA from 1 species